AACAACAACGACAACAAACCCAGUGUAUUCCCACUUAGUGGGGUCUGGGGGGGGUAAGAUGUACGCAGUCCAUACCUCUACCUCUGAUGAAGUAGAAAGGCUGUUUCCGAAAGACCCCCGGCUCAAGUCACGAGAUAUCACACAAACACAUAGUACAGCACAGAAGCAGAUGACAUAACAUAAAUACGGCACCCAUAAGGAAUAUAAAACAGAGGUGU
rnacentral:lncRNA from 1 species